rnacentral:rRNA from 1 species
UGAAUACGAGAUGCUACGGCGUCGAAGCAGUGUAUGUCAGACUUCCAAGAAAAGCUCGCAAUGUCAUAAAUAAAGAAUGCCUGUACCAUAACCGACACAGGUGGGUAGGUAGAGUAUACUAAGGGGCGCGAGAUAACUCUCUCUAAGGAACUCGGCAAAAUAACUCCGUAACUUCGGGAGAAGGAGUGCCUUCUUUAAGAAGGUUGCAAUAACAAGAUCCAAGCAACUGUUUAUCAAAAACACAGGUCUCCGCUAAGUCGUAAGACGAUGUAUGGGGGCUGACGCCUGCCCAGUGCCAGAAGGUUAAAGAAGCUGGUUAGCAAUAGCGAAGCUGGUGACUGAAGCCCUGGUGAACGGCGGCCGUAACAAUAACGGUCCUAAGGUAGCGAAAUUCCUUGUCGGGUAAGUUCCGACCCGCACGAAAGGCGUGAUGAUUUGGAUACUGUCUCGGAGAGGGACUCGGUGAAAUAGACUUGUCUGUGAAGAUGCGGACUACCUGCACCAGGACAGAAAGACCCUAUGAAGCUUUACUGUAACCUGAAAUUGAAAUUGGACUUUAUUUGCGCAGUAUAGGUGGGAGGCGUUGAAAGUAAUCUUGCGGGAUUAGUGGAGCCAUCAGUGAGAUACCACUCCUAUAAUGUUAGAUUUCUAACUUUGGAUCAUGAUCUGGUCAGAGAACAGUUUCAGGCGGGCAGUUUGACUGGGGCGGUCGCCUCCCAAAUGGUAACGGAGGCGUACAAAGGUUUCCUCUGAACGGGUAGAAAUCGUAUCUAGAGUGUAAAGGCAUAAGGAAGCUUGACUGUGAGACCUACAAGUCGAGCAGGGACGAAAGUCGGUCUUAGUGAUCUGACGGUGCUGAGUGGAAAGGCCGUCACUCAACGGAUAAAAGUUACUCUAAGGAUAACAGGCUGAUCUCCCCCAAGAGUUCACAUCGACGGGGAGGUUUGGCACCUCGAUGUCGACUCAUCGCAUCCUGGGGCGGUAGUACGUCCCAAGGGUUGGGCUGUUCGCCCAUGAAAGCGGUACGCGAGCUGGGUUCAGAACGUCGUGAGACAGUUCGGUCCAUAUCCGGUGUAGGCGUUAGAAUAUUGAGAGGAGCCUUCUCUAGUACGAGAGGACCGAGAAGGACAUACCUCUGGUGUACCAGUUAUCGUGCCAACGGUAAACGCUGGGUAGCUAUGUAUGGAGAGGAUAACCGCUGAAAGCAUCUAAGUGGGAAGCCCACCUCAAGAUGAGUAUUCUCAC